rnacentral:lncRNA from 1 species
GUCCAUCUAUAGACAGGAGUUUUGGGAUAAACUCAUCAAUGAAGUGUCCAGUUAUUCGUCCCAUAUCAUACACUCAGUUCUUUUGUAUAUGCGUUUGUUGACACUGAUUGUGAUUAGAAUUCAAUAGUAAUUAUAACAACAAUCAUCCUUAUCACACACAUCUUCAAAUAGACUGUCCUUAUGCAAAUUAAAACAUAAGCUCCGCCCGAU